GAUGAAAACGUAGCGAAAUGCGAUAAGUAAUGUGAAUUGCAGAAUUCAGUGAAUCAUCGAAUCUUUGAACGCACAUUGCGCCCGCCAGUAUUCUGGCGGGCAUGCCUGUUCGAGCGUCAUUUCAACCAUCAAGCCCCCGGCUUGUGUUGGGGACCUGCGGCUGCCGCAGGCCCUGAAAAGCAGUGGCGGGCUCGCUGUCACACCGAGCGUAGUAGCAUACAUCUCGCUCUGGGCGUGCUGCGGGUUCCGGCCGUUAAACCACCUUUUAACCCAAGGUUGACCUCGGAUCAGGUAGGAAGACCCGCUGAACUUAAGCAUAUCAAUAAGCGGAGGA
rnacentral:misc_RNA from 1 species